GACGAACGCUGGCGGCGUGCUUAACACAUGCAAGUCGAACGAUGAAGCCGCUUCGGUGGUGGAUUAGUGGCGAACGGGUGAGUAACACGUGGGCAACCUGCCCUCAGCUUUGGGAUAACUCCGGGAAACCGGGGCUAAUACCGGAUACGACCAUUCCCCGCAUGGGGUGGUGGUGGAAAGUUUUUCGGCUGGGGAUGGGCCCGCGGCCUAUCAGCUUGUUGGUGGGGUGAUGGCCUACCAAGGCGUCGACCGGGUAGCCGGCCUGAGAGGGCGACCGGCCACACUGGGACUGAGACACGGCCCAGACUCCUACGGGAGGCAGCAGUGGGGAAUAUUGCGCAAUGGGCGAAAGCCUGACGCAGCGACGCCGCGUGAGGGAUGACGGCCUUCGGGUUGUAAACCUCUUUCAGCUCCGACGAAUUCAGACGGUAGGAGCAGAAGAAGCACCGGCCAACUACGUG
rnacentral:rRNA from 1 species